UGGAGAGGUGCUGGGAGCUGGGUGGAGCUUAGAGGAAUUAAACUUUGGCCCUGUGCCUCGUCCAGCCUAGGUUCCACCCUUUUCUGGGAACCUGAGUAUCAACCAAGCAUUCAGCAGAGUAAGAAUGCAACCCUUGGGAAAGAGCAGGACACAGGAUGGCAAUUGGAAUGAUGGAAAAGUCAAAAUGCAAGAGCCAAGAAAUUAACCCCUUUAAGAAGAUGGGGGGACUGGGCGUGGUGGCUCACACGUGUGAUCCCGACACGCGCCUGUAAUCCCGGCUACUCGGGAGGCUGAGGCAGGAGGAUCGCUUGAACCCGGGAGGCGGAGGUUGCAGUGAGCCGAGAUCGCGCCAUUGCACUCCAGCCUGAGCAACAAGAGUGAAACCCCGUCCUCCCCCACCCCCCAAAAAAGAAGCUGGAGAUCUUGGAUGGAAAACUCCGGAGGACAUUGGGCAACUGGGAGGAAGCUAAAAAUGGGGUGAAAGGGAAAAAAAAAGAUGGGGGUCUUGGAUGGAAAACUCCAGAGGACAUUGGGCAACUGGGAGGAAGUUAAAAAUGGGGUGAAAGGGAUCCCAAAAUAAAUGGAUAUGACACAUGGUCA